ensembl:lncRNA
ACGCAUGUAACGUUUACCUUAAAGGGACAGAAAAGAAGCCUGCGGCAGGAAACUAUAUCUCGGCACUUGGGAGACCGAGGCAGGAAGGUUACAAAGCCAAGGGUAGCACCGGUUAAAAUGAGACUUUGUUCCGAAAGAUAAAGGUGAGAGGGGGUGGUUAUUGUAUUUUAAUGUGAAGAACUGCUAAGCAAGGAUGUAAAAGAGAAGGUGGGAUAGGUAGAGUAAAAACGAAAUGUCUUGAAUACCCUAGAAGCAACUACACAGAUCCUUAUAAUGGACACGCUCAAAAUUGGGAAAACUCAGACCUAAAUACACCGUUAAUGAAGAAUUUGGUGACCGAAUUUUAGUAACUUUCUUAAACUAGUUCACAAACAAGUUUUUUGUCUUUGUCAAAAAAAAUGGGAUUAAUAAACUCGUUUCACGACGGGAAAUACUUAUUGUGAGAUCUAUAUUUUGGUACAAAACACAUCAAAACAUUUGUUUCAACUCACCUUGACAAACAUCCCUUUCUAGGAUAGCUUACGGAGAGUGACCAUCUGCUCUUCGCUGUACCUCUGAAUUGCCGUCCCUUCAAACUUGUCCUUCUCUGCAUCCUUUAACUGAAUAAGGGCUGCUUGUCCCUUUACCAAGUCCACUUGUUGACCCUGUCACAAGGAUGAGCUUGCAUUCUAGCACACCUUAGUAACUACAGUGACAGUGGAGUAAUGAGUCAGGGAUUCAGAACUGUCUCAGUUCCGUUGCUGUUUUCUGACUGUUCUCAGACUUUGGGAGGAGUAUCUAAGUCUGCUAGUGUGUUUACCUUUUUCUUUUUAAAAGGAAGAUUUGUCGUUAUUGUUUUUGAAUUAUGUGUCUGCGUCACAGAUGUAUGUGCAGCUGCAGAAGCCAGGGGUUGUCCCUGGAGCUGGAGCAACAGUGGUUGUGAGCUGACCAGUGUGGGUGCUGGGAACCAAACUUAGGUCCUCUGCGAGAGAAGCGUGCGAUCUUAACUGCUGUACCAUCUCUCCAGCCCAGUGCCUUGCCUUUUCCUGAAGUAGCUUUGAAACUGAGACAUCCCAUGCGCUGGUGAGCUGGUUAAGAUCCUACCAGUACUGCACGGAAGCGGUCAGGGGUGAAAGAGAAGUAUGAGUUACUGGGACCUUAGCUUCUGCACCGCUCCUCCAGUCUGUCUCUCAAGGCUUUGAAACCAUACAAGCAGAGGCAAGUUUCAAUAUCAUUCCAGGUAAGCGUCUCUCCUUGGCUUUACCAACUGAUGUAAUGUUUUCAAAAGUCCAUCUUCAUAUGCUGAACCACGCUGGGACCUCAUUCCAGUUGUAAAGAGUUACACCGAGUUUUAUUAGCCCCCUUUUUCCUGGUGAUAAAAUUGAAGUUGAGUGAUUUGAUUAUGAUCGUGAAACUUGGGUGUUUAGAGUUGGGAUAUGAGCACAUGUAUUCCUGUCAUUCUGUUAUGUUAAAGGUUUGCUUUAUCAUGAGGGGUUAAAGCAGCGGUUCUCAACCUUCCUAAUACUCUGACACUUUUAGACAGUUCCUCUUGUUGUGGUGACCCCCCAAUCAUAAAGUUAUUUUGCUACUAUUUCAUAACUGUAAUUUUGCCACUGUUUUGAAUCAUAAUGUAAAUACCUGAUCUGCAGGACAUAUUCUAUGUGACCUUCAAAGGGAGUUGAGAAGCUCUGGGUUAAAGGAAACUGUCCAUUUCAUUUGUUGUUGUUGGAAUGCUAGCUCCUUGGAUUCUCUUGCGAAGGAGGAUCCGACAUUGUGCUUAAUAGCAAACCUUCUCGGACAGAGGAACAGUGUCUGAAGGCGGUGGCAUACGGAAUAGCUGAGAAGAACUUUUCAGUGGACAAUGUACAAUGACCCUUCUUCUUUCAAGGGUAAGACAUGUCAGAAAGCUUCACAAGAUAACACAGGGGACCAAAUAGAAGUCAAACACCAGCUGACAGAACCAUAAGUGUGAUGAUCUAGGGAACAGAAAUCCAGAAGAUUCUCAUUGUUGUCUAAAGGAAACGAGCCACAUUAUGUGGUCCAGUUUUCUAUGGAAAGACUUGUUAAAAUAUCAUGUUUCCUGUCAGGCCUGGGGCCCCUUUAAUUAAACGCUUCCUUAACCCUUGUCUGGUGCUCUUCAGAGUGGCUGUCUUAUUUAGUGUUCGGCAUUCUGCAAAGUCUCGCUUAGCAUCCUUCAUAGUGUGUAUUUUUGAUGAGGAUGGUGUUGCUAUUUUUACAUGGGCUUUGUGAGCUCCUUUGAGGAAUGCAGGGGUCCACAGAGAGGUGAAGGCGUUUGACUUCUUGUAUUUAAUCUAUCCUUUCCUCCAUCUCACAGAUCCCCACGGAAAGCUGCACCUCUAAGAGCUGAUUUGCCAACUGUUUUUGCUCGGAAGGGACAUCACCUAUUUUUAGCAACAAAGAAGUGUUAGGAAGGGGAGGGAGGCAUAUCUCAGAGGGACAGAUCUGAAAUGAAGCCCAGAAUGCUGGGGAGAUGGGAGAGGAAGGCACAAGGGUGUUUGUGAAGGAUGUUCAGGAGCGCAGCUCUGAGCCUUACACUGCAGAGAGGAGACCUCUUAAAUGGCUGCUUAUAGAGAAUUGAGAAUUAAUGUUAUUAAAGAGACCUUUAAGACAGCCAAAGGGCAUCAAGAUGAACCGCUUUGAUUAGUUCCAUGAUCUAUAUUUUCAAAAGUUUUCGACUGAGAUAAACUUGCAACACAUUAAAGGGGCAACUUUGUAUCUUAUGCAGAGAGCAGGCGUAGGGUGGGGAGAAGGAAUGACAUUUGAAAGUCUAAGGUGAGGCACAUCUUGUCCAGAAUGCAUUGGAAACUGAAUUGGUUGGUUUCUAUGCAAAGUUUAAAGCAGUCAUUAGAAAGUUAUUCUCAUUUUUAUAUAUUACCAAAGGCAGAAGAACUUCUCCCCUCCCUCUUCCUCCCUCCCCUUCGGCUUCUCUCUUCUCCUCCCAAUUUCCUUCCCUUCUUUCUUUUUCUUCCUUUCAAGGUUGGACUGAAGAAUUAAUAGAACACACUGCCUUCCUUCCAAGGUUUCAUUUUUUCUAAAGCCAGCAGAAUCUCAGCUUUGUAAUACGUGUACAGUAGAAAUAUGAUCCCAGGGAGCUCAGAAUGAGAAGCAUUGGAUUCUGCUUGAUGCUAUCACAGAAGGCUGCUGGGAGGAGGUAAUUUUUCUUUUCUUUUUCUUGUCCUUUUAUUGAAAAUAAUUUUCUUCUCACACGAUAUAUUCCUGGUUGUAGUCUCCCCCUCCCCAGUUCUCCCUACCUCUUCUCCAUCCAGAUCCGUCCUCUUUUUGCCUUCCUUAGGAAACAAACAGGCUUCUAAGGGAUAAUGAAAAUCAAAGAAAUGAAAAGGAAAGAAAAAAAAAGAAAAAACGAACAUCAGCAUAAGACAAAACAAACAGAUGGAAAAGAGUCUAAGAGAAGGCAUAAGAAGUAGAUAUAGACACAGUGACACACUCAUUUGCACACUCAGAAAUCAUACAAAAACAGUAAAUCGGAAGCCAUAAUAUAUACAUAAAGGUCAUAUAAAGUAAAAAUGGAAAAUACAAAUAAAC